GCCCGACUAGCGCAAUGGUAGCGCGUUAGACUUCUAUAAACAAAGCAAAAAAUCUAAAGGCUACGGGUUCGAAUCCCGUGUUGGGUU
rnacentral:tRNA from 1 species